rnacentral:rRNA from 1 species
AUUGAACGCUGGCGGCAGGCUUAACACAUGCAAGUCGAACGAGUGGCGGACGGGUGAGUAAUGUUUGGGAAUCUAGCCUAUGGAGGGGGAUAACUACGGGAAACUGUAGCUAAUACCGCAUACUAUCGGCUGAACCCAGGUGGGAUUAGGUAGUGGGUGGGGUAAAGGCUCACCAAGCCGACGAUCUCUAGCUGGUCUGAGAGGAUGACCAGCCACACUGGGACUGAGAAACGGCCCAGACUCCUACGGGAGGCAGCAGUGGGGAAUAUUGCGCAAUGGGGGCAACCUGAUGCAGCCAUGCCGCGUGAAUGAAGAAGGCCUUAGGGUUGUAAAGUUCUUUCGGUAGGGAGGCGUUAACCACAGAAGAAGCACCGGCUAACUCCGUGCCAGCAGCCGCGGUAAUUC